rnacentral:rRNA from 1 species
GAUGAACGCUGGCGGCGUGCCUAAUACAUGCAAGUCGAGCGAACGGACGAGAAGCUUGCUUCUCUGAUGUUAGCGGCGGACGGGUGAGUAACACGUGGAUAACCUACCUAUAAGACUGGGAUAACUUCGGGAAACCGGAGCUAAUACCGGAUAAUAUUUUGAACCGCAUGGUUCAAAAGUGAAAGACGGUCUUGCUGUCACUUAUAGAUGGAUCCGCGCUGCAUUAGCUAGUUGGUAAGGUAACGGCUUACCAAGGCAACGAUGCAUAGCCGACCUGAGAGGGUGAUCGGCCACACGGGAACUGAGACACGGUCCAGACUCCUACGGGAGGCAGCAGUAGGGAACCUUCCGCAAUGGGCGAAAGCCUGACGGAGCAACGCCGCGUGAGUGAUGAAGGUCUUCGGAUCGUAAAACUCUGUUAUUAGGGAAGAACAUAUGUGUAAGUAACUGUGCACAUCUUGACGGUACCUAAUCAGAAAGCCACGGCUAACUACGUG